rnacentral:rRNA from 1 species
GACAGAGGAUGCAAGCGUUAUCCGGAAUGAUUGGGCGUAAAGCGUCUGUAGGUGGCUUUUAAGUCCGCCGUCAAAUCCCAGGGCGUCAACCCUGGACAGGCGGUGGAAACUACCAAGCUGGAGUACGGUAGGGGCAGAGGGAAUUUCCGGUGGAGCGGUGAAAGUGCGUAGAGAUCGGAAAGAACACCAACGGCGAAAGCAACUCUGCUGGGCCGACACUGACACUGAGAGACGAAAGCUAGGGGAGCAAUGGG